rnacentral:rRNA from 1 species
UGCAGUCGAACGGAAGUCGUUAUAAAAAGGAUUGAGGAUUUAUCCGAUUGAGAUUUUAUAACAAUGGCUUUAGUGGCGGACUGGUGAGUAACGCGUGAGCAACCUGCCUACUAGAGGGGAAUAACAGUGAGAAAUCACUGCUAAUACCGCAUAUGCCAUGAACAUCACAUGAUGAAAAUGGGAAAAGAGUAAUCUGCUAGUAGAUGGGCUCGCGUCUGAUUAGAUAGUUGGUGGGGUAACGGCCUACCAAGUCGACGAUCAGUAGCCGGACUGAGAGGUUGAACGGCCACAUUGGGACUGAGAUACGGCCCAGACUCCUACGGGAGGCAGCAGUCGGGAAUAUUGCGCAAUGGAGGAAACUCUGACGCAGUGACGCCGCGUAUAGGAAGAAGGUUUUCGGAUUGUAAACUAUUGUCGUUAGGGAAGAUAAAAGACAGUACCUAAGGAGGAAGCUCCGGCUAACUACGUGCCAG